GCAAAGCUGUUGGACUCACCUGCUCAGAGCCUGUCAGGUUGGUGGGAGGAGCCAGUCGCUGUGCAGGUACACUGGAGGUGAAACAUGGGGAGUAGAGACCAGUGCAGGAUGUAUCCUGGACCCUGAAGAAAGCAGCUUCAGCUUACAGAGAUCUGGACUGUGGCUCUGCUGUUUCAACAGGAAGCAGAAAUGAAGCCUCACUCAGAUCUACAUGGUGGAUCAGAUCUGACUGUGUUCAUUCUGGAUCUGCACUGAGUGACUGUGCAGUAUCAGGUUCCUCUUCCUCCAUCGUGGAGCUCACCUGCUCAGCGGCUGCAUCUGCAAGUGUUUAUGAAGCACGGACACACUGCACAACAAGGUUAAUGUUAGCCACAUAGGCUAGCAUAUUUAGCUUUGUCGUCCAAGGCAAUAUGGUGAUAUCACUGUAUAUGACUCUCAAGCUAUAUGCUGUAUAUUUACAUAAACAAAUGCCAAAAUGUA